rnacentral:rRNA from 1 species
UUAAGCGACUAAGCGUACACGGUGGAUGCCUAGGCAAUCAGAGGCGAUGAAGGACGUGCUAAUCUGCGAUAAGCGUCGGUAAGGUGAUAUGAACCGUUACAACCGACGAUUUCCGAAUGGGGAAACCCAGUGCAAUUCGUUGCACUAUCGUUUGAUGAAUACAUAGUCAAACGAAGCGAACCGGGGGAACUGAAACAUCUCAGUACCCCGAGGAAAAGAAAUCAACCGAGAUUCCCCUAGUAGCGGCGAGCGAACGGGGAGCAGCCCAGAGUCUUAAUCAGCAUUAGCAUCAGGAGAACGGUCUGGAAAGUCCGGCAGUAAAGGGUGAUAGCCCCGUAUCCGAAGGUGUUAGUGUUGUGAACUCGACGAGUAGGGCGGGACACGUGUUAUCCUGUCUGAAUAUGGGGGGACCAUCCUCCAAGGCUAAAUACUCCUGAUUGACCGAUAGUGAACCAGUACCGUGAGGGAAAGGCGAAAAGAACCCCGGCGAGGGGAGUGAAAUAGAACCUGAAACCGUGUACGUACAAGCAGUGGGAGCCUUGAUUUAUCAGGGUGACUGCGUACCUUUUGUAUAAUGGGUCAGCGACUUAUAUUCUGUAGCAAGGUUAACCGUAUAGGGGAGCCGUAGGGAAACCGAGUCUUAACUGGGCGAAUAAGUUGCAGGGUAUAGACCCGAAACCCGGUGAUCUAGCCAUGGGCAGGUUGAAGGUUGGGUAACACUAACUGGAGGACCGAACCGACUAAUGUUGAAAAAUUAGCGGAUGACUUGUGGCUGGGGGUGAAAGGCCAAUCAAACCGGGAGAUAGCUGGUUCUCCCCGAAAGCUAUUUAGGUAGCGCCUCGUGAACUCAUCUUCGGGGGUAGAGCACUGUUUCGACUAGGGGGUCAUCCCGACUUACCAACUCGAUGCAAACUACGAAUACCGAAGAAUGUUAUCACGGGAGACACACGGCGGGUGCUAACGUUCGUCGUGAAGAGGGAAACAACCCAGACCGCCAGCUAAGGUCCCAAAGUCAUAGUUAAGUGGGAAACGAAGUGGGAAGGCUCAGACAGCCAGGAUGUUGGCUUAGAAGCAGCCAUCAUUUAAAGAAAGCGUAAUAGCUCACUGGUCGAGUCGGCCUGCGCGGAAGAUGUAACGGGGCUAAACUAUGCACCGAAGCUGCGGCAGCGAUAUUUAGAUAUUGUUGGGUAGGGGAGCGUUCUGUAAGCCUGUGAAGGUGUGCUGUGAGGCAUGCUGGAGGUAUCAGAAGUGCGAAUGCUGACAUAAGUAACGAUAAUGCGGGUGAAAAACCCGCACGCCGGAAGACCAAGGGUUCCUGUCCAACGUUAAUCGGGGCAGGGUGAGUCGACCCCUAAGGCGAGGCAGAAAUGCGUAGUCGAUGGGAAACGGGUUAAUAUUCCCGUACUGGUGAUAAUUGCGAUGGGGGGACGGAGAAGGCUAGGCUAUCCGGGCGACGGUUGUCCCGGUUUAAGGAUGUAGGCAGGUGAAUUAGGCAAAUCCGGUUCACUAUAUGCUGAGGUCCGAUGACGAGUCACUACGGUGAUGAAGUAGCUCAUGCCCCGCUUCCAGGAAAAGCCUCUAAGCUCUAGAUUAUCAUUAAUCGUACCCCAAACCGACACAGGUGGUCAGGUAGAGAAUACUCAGGCGCUUGAGAGAACUCGGGUGAAGGAACUAGGCAAAAUGGUGCCGUAACUUCGGGAGAAGGCACGCUGGCAUUAGGUGAAGUGAUUUACUCAUGGAGCUGAAGCCAGUCGCAGAUACCAGCUGGCUGCAACUGUUUAUUAAAAACACAGCACUGUGCAAACACGAAAGUGGACGUAUACGGUGUGACGCCUGCCCGGUGCUGGAAGGUUAAUUGAUGGGGUUAUCCGUAAGGAGAAGCUCUUGAUCGAAGCCCCAGUAAACGGCGGCCGUAACUAUAACGGUCCUAAGGUAGCGAAAUUCCUUGUCGGGUAAGUUCCGACCUGCACGAAUGGCGUAAUGAUGGCCAGGCUGUCUCCACCCGAGACUCAGUGAAAUUGAACUCGCUGUGAAGAUGCAGUGUACCCGCGGCAAGACGGAAAGACCCCGUGAACCUUUACUAUAGCUUGACACUGAACAUUGAGCCUUGAUGUGUAGGAUAGGUGGGAGGCUUUGAAGCGUGGACGCCAGUCUGCGUGGAGCCAACCUUGAAAUACCACCCUUUAAUGUUUGAUGUUCUAACGUUGCCCCGUUAUCCGGGGUGCGGACAGUGUCUGGUGGGUAGUUUGACUGGGGCGGUCUCCUCCCAAAGAGUAACGGAGGAGCACGAAGGUUGGCUAAGCAUGGUCGGACAUCAUGCGGUUAGUGCAAAGGCAUAAGCCAGCUUGACUGCGAGAGUGACGGCUCGAGCAGGUACGAAAGUAGGUCUUAGUGAUCCGGUGGUUCUGAAUGGAAGGGCCAUCGCUCAACGGAUAAAAGGUACUCCGGGGAUAACAGGCUGAUACCGCCCAAGAGUUCAUAUCGACGGCGGUGUUUGGCACCUCGAUGUCGGCUCAUCACAUCCUGGGGCUGAAGUAGGUCCCAAGGGUACGGCUGUUCGCCGUUUAAAGUGGUACGCGAGCUGGGUUUAGAACGUCGUGAGACAGUUCGGUCCCUAUCUGCCGUGGGCGUUGGAAGAUUGAAAGGGGCUGCUCCUAGUACGAGAGGACCGGAGUGGACGCACCACUGGUGUUCGGGUUGUCAUGCCAAUGGCAUUGCCCGGUAGCUAAGUGCGGAAGAGAUAACCGCUGAAAGCAUCUAAGCGGGAAACUUGCCUUGAGAUGAGUCUUCCCUGACUCUUUAAGGGUCCUAAAGGAACGUUUAAGACUAAGACGUUGAUAGGUUGGGUGUGUAAGCGUAGCGAUACGUUGAGCUAACCAAUACUAAUGAACCGUGAGGCUUAACC